rnacentral:rRNA from 1 species
AUCCUUGAUAGGUCAUCUCAUCUGGAAGGAGAGAUGGCUUAAAGGGGUACGCGGGCUUCUUCCGCGAAUUCGCUCCAGGAUGGGACUGCGUCCGAUCACGCUGUUGGCGGGGUAAUGGCCCACCAAACCUGUAACCGGUACGGGCCUUGAGAGAGGUGGCCCGGAGAUGGACACUGAGAGAAGGGUCCAGGUCCUACGGGGCGCAGCAGGCGCGAAACCUUCGCAAUGCGCGAAAGCGUGACGAGGUUAAUCCGAGUGACUUCCGCUGAGGAGGUCUUUUGUCAGCUGUAAAUAGGCAGGCGAAUAAGGGGAGGGCAAGCCUGGUGUCAGCCGCCGCGGUAAUACCAGCUCCUCGAGUGGUCGGGGCGAUUAUUGGGNCCUAAAGCAUCCGUAGCCGGUUCCGUAGGUCCUCUGUUAAAUCCAACCGCUUAACGGUUGACCUGCAGAGGAUACCGCGGGACUAGGAGGCGGGAGAGCGGGACCGUACUCCGCGUGUAGGGGUAAUCCUUUGAUCCGCGGAAGAACCACCAGUGGCCGAAAGCGGUCCCGCCAGAACGCGCUUCGACGGUUGAGGGAUUAAAGCCCGGG